UACGGAGGGUGCAAGCGUUAUCCGGAUUCACUGGGUUUAAAGGGUGCGUAGGUGGGCAGGUAAGUCAGCGGUGAAAUCCCCGAGCUUAACUUGGGAACUGCCAUUGAUACUAUCUGUCUUGAAUACCUUGGAGGUGAGCGGAAUAUGUCAUGUAGCGGUGAAAUGCUUAGAUAUGACAUAGAACACCAAUUGCGAAGGCAGCUCACUACACGGUAAUUGACACUGAGGCACGAAAGCGUGGGGAUCAAACAGG
rnacentral:rRNA from 1 species